rnacentral:lncRNA from 1 species
AAGGGUGGGGGUGGUCGUGGUCCACCUGCAGGCGCAGGCGGUGUCAAAGGAUAUGGAAGAGGGUUCGGCCGGGCCACGGCUUCUGCAGAGAAUGAUGACAAGAAUGACGAUGAUGACGACAUGGGCUUCUAAGCGAGAACAGCACAGCAACACAAUGAAAAGGAGAGGAACAGCAACAUUAUUACAAGGCAUAGUGGUCCACCACUUGACAAGCUUGCCACAUCAAUUGAUCGAGCCCUCAAGUUACGCAGUUAACAAUGUCAUUCGAUUAGGCCUCUACGGACGUAUGCAGUGGCUUCUGUCAAUAAAGAGAGAAAACCAUCGAAUAC